CCUACGGGUGACAGCAGUGAGGAAUAUUGGUCAAUGGGCGUAAGCCUGAACCAGCCAAGUCGCGUGAGGGAUGAAGGUUCUAUGGAUCGUAAACCUCUUUUAUAAGGGAAUAAAGUGUGGGACGUGUCCUGUUUUGUAUGUACCUUAUGAAUAAGGAUCGGCUAACUCCGUGCCAGCAGCCGCGGUAAUACGGAGGAUCCGAGCGUUAUCCGGAUUUAUUGGGUUUAAAGGGUGCGUAGGCGGCCUGUUAAGUCAGCGGUGAAAGGCUGUGGCUCAACCAUAGAAUUGCAGUUGAAACUGGGAGGCUGGAGUGUGUUUGAGGCAGGCGGAAUGCGUGGUGUAGCGGUGAAAUGCUUAGAUAUCACGCAGAACCCCGAUUGCGAAGGCAGCCUACCAAGCCGUAACUGACGCUGAUGCACGAAAGCGUGGGGAUCAAACAGGAUUAGAUACCCGAGUAGUC
rnacentral:rRNA from 1 species